UGGGAGUAAAAAUAAGGGCUUGGAGGAACUGACUAAUCCACUGAAAGUGCAAGGAGAGUCAGGAACUUUUUGCUAAAGACUGUCAUCUGCUCUGUGCUAUGGGACAUUGGAGAAGGAUCUCUUCUAGACUCACGCAGAGAGAGAAGAGGAAGUGGAGCCUGGCCAGGGUGGACUCUUACCAGGUCCAUUUGCAGUAAAGAUGGCAGCCAGAAGGGGAUGAGCAGGAGGACGUGGACCUGGUCCUUGGUGUUGUUAAAGCAGCCUUGCCUGUGAGGAACACUAGUUGCUGUAAGGAGCGGCAGGGAGGGACUGUGAGGGUAUUAGUGCUUGCCUGGAAAUGAUCAUAACUAGAGUUGUCAAUUUAAUUUUACUUAGGCAAGACUAACCAGAUUGGAAGACAUGUAAGUUAUAAAUAUUUUAAAUAAGCAUUAUUAAUUAUAUCAAUGGGAGUCUUUUAUCCUUUUCUGACAACAUGAUCAGCCAAAUAUGGUUGAAAUGUGUUCCUGUUUUCUGUGAACUGUAUGGUUCUCAGUUUUCUCUUAUUUGUAGAGUUUGCUAUAAUAUAAUGUUAGAUGAGCAUGUGCAUUUGUUGUAUCUUAAUUGUGGAUUACACUCCUAAUCAAUCUAAAAUGCCCUUCUUGGCCUAUUUAAUACAUUGUUUGUAAUUUCUGUCCCAGUUUCCUUUUUGUGUGCAUAUAUCUUAGCUAAGCAUUUAACCUUUAUUACUGACCUUUUUGUUGGAAUUGUAGGUUGUGUAUUUUGUAUUUUGACCAAGCAUAAAAAGACUUUGUUAAUCAGGGAGAUAAUUACACUAAUAGUGAUUUUCAAAACUGGUACUUGUGGUGCACAUUGCUGUUCCUGCCCAGGAUCUGUUCCCACCAGCUUUGCUGGAAACAAAUCCAGCAUUUGCAGGAGCUCUCCUGGCAAAUCAGCAGAACCUAUUGUCAUUCCAUCUCCCAAGAUGGAUUGAUUGGCCUAAGUGUCAUGCCAACAAUUGGCUCAGAAUGGGCAAGGAACUCAGCUGGGAGAAUGGAAACAAUUUGGGGGAUUUCCGGAGAUAAUGUCUUUGCUCUUAAGAAAGCCAUAGGAGAGUGUUCUCUCUUCUGCUGAGUCUUAUCACAACUGGACACUGCUCCUGGAAAUGUGAUAUACAGCAAUCUUGCUGGCUGCUGGUGGAUGAAGUCUUCACAAAGAUGGCAGAGAAACAAGUUGAGAAAAAUCUGAGCUCUUGAACAUAUAUAUCAAUUAUCUUCUGACUCAAUUUCUCAGUGGCUUUUGUAUAUCUUGUGUUCCUGUUGUGUAAAAUUAGCCAGUUCUUUACUAUUGUUUAAAUCAGGGUUUUAGCUACUUAUGACAAGCACCUAAUCAACUCAAAAUGUUCAUUUUAUGUUAACUUUUAAUCUCCUAUCCUUUAUUUUAUGUUUUUAAUGUAUUAUUUCUCUUUGGUUGUCCAUCACUUUAAUAUAGAUUAUAUUUGAUUUCCUUUUGUUUUCUCCUGAGAAUUGCUAAAUAUGCAACCUAUGUUUAAUUCUACUAAAAGUUGAGUGGCUUAAAAUAUACUGGAGCCUAUAUUUUUAGAAGUAAAAACAUCACUAUAAAGCUUAAUGAGUUCUUCAUAUAUACCAUGCCAGUGUGCUAAACAAGAUAUGUAUAUUCAUUCAUUUGGUCUUCACUAUAGGACUCAGAAAUACAU
ensembl:lncRNA